rnacentral:rRNA from 1 species
GUUCGGAUCGAAGUAAUGAUCAAAGAGACAGGCGGGGACGUUUGUAUGGCUGCGCUAGAGGUGAAAUUCAUGGACCGUAGCCAGACAAACUAAAGCGAAAGCAUUCGUCAAGCAUGUUUUCAUUGGCCAUGAGCGAAAGUCAGAGGCUCGAAGACGAUCAGAUACCGUCCUAGUUCUGACCAUAAACGAUGCCAACUGACGAUCCGUGGUGGUAGUCGUGUUACCUUACCCACGGGCAGUCCCCGGGAAACCUUUAAGUGUUUGGACUCCGGCGCAAGUAUGGUUGCAAAGCUGAAACUUAAAGGAAUUGACGACGGGGCACCACCAAGACCGGAUCCCACGACGUGAUUUGACUCAACUCGGCACAACCCUCCCGGGCCGGAAGGUAUGAUCAUUGACACAUUGAGAGCUCGUGCUGGACCCGGAGGUCGGAGGUGCAUCGCCGUACUUAGUUGAUGGAUCUAUUUGUGUGGUUAAUUCCGAUCACGAACUUGACUCCAGCCUGCUAAUAAGUAGGCAUUCGUCCCCUGCAUCUGUGAUGGCGGCGCCGGAUGAUACCACCGGCCACGGGUGGUGGGCUUUCACGAGAGAAACCCCACUCUCCUCUCGUCUCUCCACGCUUCGCUGCCGCCUCCGCCGUCGUCCCCACAUCGUCGUCUCCCGAUCUCUUUCUCUCGCGUGCUGCUCUCCCUCCUCCUCCCUCCUCGCUCUCCCGCUGGCAAGCGAGAAAGGGAGGAGGGCUGGAAGAGGGAAAAAGCUGAGCAGGCGAGAAAAAGAGUUUCGCGAGACUGACGAGGACGCCGACGACGACGGCGACGACUGCGAAACGGGAUAGAAAAUAGGAUAGUGGCCUCAUGAAAACCCGCCUGCCGUGGCAGGUGGUAUCCUAACCCCCCCAUCUCAGAUGCAAGGACACAAUGCACUAAGUAGCACGGGUGGAAUCCCCUUCAUUUUCGGAAUUAACCGGACUAUCUCUCCACCAACUAACAACGGCCAUGCCCCACCUAACACCAAAUCAAGAAAGAAUCAAUUUGUUGAUCCUCAAAGGUUCCGGACCGGGUGAAUUCCCGUGUUGAGGCAAAUUAAGCCGCGAAGUUCCACUCCUGGAGGGGCCAUUCCCAAAUCCUUUAAGUUUCAGCUUUGCAACCAUACUUCCCCAACCCAAACACUUAAAGGUUUCCGGGACUGCCCGUGGGGAA